rnacentral:misc_RNA from 1 species
UAAUAAGUGUUUUUAUGGCACUUUAAAUCCAUAUCCACCUUGUGUGCAAUGUCAUCUCACUGGGGUCACGUUUGUAAAAUCUCGUGGUCCUUUUGGGAUUUAUAUCUACUCAGAACUUUAGUCAUUUUGUCUGAAACAUAUUAUGAAUAACUUAAUUCAAAAUA